rnacentral:lncRNA from 1 species
AAGAUAAUGUUUACCGACACCAAAAAAAGGACGACCAGACAUUUACCGAUGACUGGGAAGAAACUCGACGUUUACCGACAUCGAAAGAUGAUAUUUACCGACACCAAAAAAGAACGACCAAGCAUUUACCGAUGACUGGGAAGGAACUCGACGUUUACCGACAUCGAAAGAUGAUGUUUACCGACACCAAAAAAGAACGACCAGACAUUUACCGAUGACUGGGAAGAA